CGAGGUUAGAGACCCUUUCUUUAAGUUGUCUCUAGGCAAAAACACUCAGCAAGGUUUUCCCUAUAAGGAAGAAAAAAACCCAUCAUCUACCUUUUGAGCUGAUGGCUCGUGGAACCCGAAUUACAGAUUUGACUCCUAUGUAGCAGAACUGUUUGUUUAAACAACUCCUUAUUCCGGGUAAUUUCCUUAGAGAGUUAAUGUCUUUUGAUUCUAAGGCCUUAGGCCUGUACGAGAUUAGAGACCCUUUCUUUACCAGUUGUCUCUAGGGCUUGUAUGAAUUUGAGACUUUUUCUUUAACAGAUGUCUCUGGAGUAAAAGGCCUGUACGGGAUUAGAGACCCUUUCAUUAACAGGUGUCUCUAGGGUUCUCCUGCCCUCAGGAUCCUGGUCUGAGUCCUAGAACCUUAAUAUUUCAACCUCUAUGGUUGGUGGAGAGAAGAGAUUGAAAAUACAAGACAAAACAUUCAUAUGUCCAUACAUUUUAAAACCAGUUUUUGUAAUUCGUUCAGUUUUUCCUUUUGGAUAUACUUAUUCUUUUACAACAAGUUGUUUUGUCCUUUAAUAAAAGCAAAGGAAACUUAUCAAAAAGAUAUGUAUUUUUUUAUUCUUUUGUUUUCUUCAAAGGAAACUUAUUUUCAGUCCAUAAUUAUAUUUGGGAAGGAAGGUUCAUUAAAUCCUUUUUAACAAGAUUGUUUUGUUUUUGUAAAAAGUAAAGGAAACUUAUUCAAAGGAAACUUAUAAGGUUGUUAUUGAUAUUCCUCUUUCUUUUGGUGUCUUUUAUAUUUUUGUUUUUUAGGUGUUAGUUGAUCAAAUCAGCAUUGGGUGAAGGCCUUCCCUUAGUCCCCCAGCUUCUUCAACAAAACCAUGAUG